GGUGAGUGCUGGUGGAUGCUUUUUAUUAGUGGCUACCCUGCUUUGGAUGUGCAUCAGAGAAGACCUAUUUCUUGGAUGUACAUGGCUCUGAUUAAUCAAAUUAAUUUGCCUGCGACUGAUUCUAGCUUCUAAGAGUAGGCAUUUCUGCUGAAAUAUAAACCUUUUACUGUAUGUUACUAAUGUUGUGCGGCGACUGAUUCUAGCUUCUAAGAGAAGACCCAUUUCUUGGAUAUAUUUAUUGCUUUUCUGAUGUUGUGCGGCAAGCUGAAAAUAGAGGGGUCCAUCAAGUGUUGGAGAAUGCUCAAUGUGCUCACAAAUAACCGUGACCUAUGCAGUCAGUCAAACUAGGAGAAUUUUGGGCAUAUGUUCUCUUUUUGACAAGUUUUCAAGUAGAGAUGAAGAGAGGGUUAGAAGAUACAAACUCAGCGAUAUGCAUUUCUUGCAUAUAUAGGUGAAACUCAUGGGUGUUUCCAUGGACAAGGCAAAAGGAUCGACCCUGUUCUUCUCAUCUUAUGAGUCUCCAUCAAUAUCAUGCGUACUUAUUUGUCUUGCCCACAGCACAAAACAAAAAAGGCUUUUAUGUCGGCAAACCUGCAUCCAUCACUAAAUGCUUCAUAUUCGUCCAUUUGCCUCUCAGUCAUCCUGCUAAGAAGCUCUGUAAAAAGCAACGC